rnacentral:rRNA from 1 species
ACGACUACACUCCUACGGGAGGCAGCAGUGGGGAAUUUUGGACAAUGGGGGCAACCCUGAUCCAGCCAUGCCGCGUGUGUGAAGAAGGCCUUUUGGUUGUAAAGCACUUUAAGCAGUGAAGAAGACUCUUCGGUUAAUACCCGGAGACGAUGACAUUAGCUGCAGAAUAAGCACCGGCUAACUCUGUGCCAGCAGCCGCGGUAAUACAGAGGGUGCAAGCGUUAAUCGGAAUUACUGGGCGUAAGGGGAGCGUAGGUGGCUCGAUAAGUCAGAUGUGAAAUCCCCGGGCUCAACCUGGGAACUGCAUCUGAUACUGUUGAGCUGGAGUAUGUGAGAGGAAGGUAGAAUUCCAGGUGUAGCGGUGAAAUGCGUAGAGAUCUGGAGGAAUACCGAUGGCGAAGGCAGCCUUCUGGCAUAAUACUGACACUGAGGCUCGAAAGCGUGGGUAGCAAACAGGAUUAGAUACCCUGGUAGUCCACCAAUCC